rnacentral:rRNA from 1 species
UACGUAGGUGGCAAGCGUUGUCCGGAUUUAUUGGGUUUAAAGGGUGCGUAGGCGGUGUCCUAAGUCAGUUGUGAAAUACGGCAGCUUAACUGUCGAGGUGCAAUUGAUACUGGGACACUUGAGUACUGAUGAGGUAGGCGGAAUGGACGGUGUAGCGGUGAAAUGCUUAGAUAUCGUCCAGAACACCGAUAGCGAAGGCAGCUUACUAAGGAGUAACUGACGCUGAUGGACGAAAGCGUGGGUAGCGAACAGG